CAAAACAAGUCCACCGUGGGCUUUGAAAAACGCUUUCCUUGAUAAAAUUUAAGCGUUUUAUAAGAGGAUGCCGGGGAAGGUUUUCCGGUUUAUCCCGGAGGGCUUGUAGCUCAGUUGGUUAGAGCGCGCGCUUGAUAAGCGUGAGGUCGGAGGUUCAAGUCCUCCCAGGCCCACCAGUUUAUCCUUUACUUUCAUAAGUGCUUUUAAAAAAUAAGUACUUCUAAAAAGAUUGCUUCUAAAAAGCUUAUCAAAAUUGGCAGGCUUAUUGCUUUUGUGUGAGUAAUCCAAAGUUAAAGCAAAUUAAUGGCAAAAAAACAGUUCAAAUGCUAAAUACUAAGGAGUCAAAAUUCCUUGCAAAGUGAUUUUUACAGCGUCCAUUUGGUUGAUAUAAAUUCCAAAUGCUCAUAGACGUCAAUGCCUAUAUGAAACUAUCGGUUCAAUCAUAUCGCUUUGAGUUAUAUAGAUUUUGUAAUCCCUCUUUUGAUCGUUUUAAACGCUUUAUUCUGAUUUAGGGGCCGUAGCUCAGCUGGGAGAGCACCUGCUUUGCAAGCA
rnacentral:misc_RNA from 1 species